AGGGGGGGGGUUUGAACCCUGGAUCUUUGGUUUACAAGACCAACGCCUUACCACUUGGCCAC
rnacentral:tRNA from 1 species